rnacentral:rRNA from 1 species
UACGUAGGGUGCGAGCGUUAAUCGGAAUUACUGGGCGUAAAGCGUGCGCAGGCGGGCUUUUAAGCCAGACGUGAAAUCCCCGGGCUUAACCUGGGAAUGGCGUUUGGGACUGGAAGUCUGGAGUGCGGCAGAGGAGACUGGAAUUCCUGGUGUAGCAGUGAAAUGCGUAGAUAUCAGGAGGAACACCGGUGGCGAAGGCGGGUCUCUGGGCAGUAACUGACGCUGAGGAGCGAAAGCGUGGGGAGCGAACAGG